UACGUAGGGGGCAAGCGUUGUCCGGAAUUAUUGGGCGUAAAGGGCUCGUAGGCGGUCUGUUGCGUCAGGCGUGAAAGUCCUGGGCUCAACCUGGGAACUGCGCUUGAUACGGCAGAGCUAGAGGAUGGAAGAGGCUCGCGGAAUUCCCAGUGUAGAGGUGAAAUUCGUAGAUAUUGGGAAGAACACCGGUGGCGAAGGCGGCGAGCUGGUCCAUUACUGACGCUGAGGCGCGACAGCGUGGGGAGCAAACAGG
rnacentral:rRNA from 1 species